UACGUAGGGUGCAAGCGUUGUCCGGAAUUAUUGGGCGUAAAGAGCUCGUAGGCGGUUUGUCGCGUCUGCUGUGAAAAUCCAGGGCUUAACCCUGGACCUGCAGUGGGUACGGGCAGACUAGAGUGCGGUAGGGGAGAUCGGAAUUCCUGGUGUAGCGGUGAAAUGCGCAGAUAUCAGGAGGAACACCGGUGGCGAAGGCGGCAUCCUGGACCGACAUUGACGCUGAGGAGCGAAAGCUAGGGGAGCAAACGGG
rnacentral:rRNA from 1 species